rnacentral:rRNA from 1 species
AUAAGACGGGGAUAACUUCGGGAAACCGGGAGCUAAUACCGGAUAAUAUAUUGAACCGCAGGGUUCAGUAGUGAAAGACGGUUUUGCUGUCACUUAUUGAUGGAUCCGCGCCGCAUUAGCUAGUUGGUAAGGUAACGGCUUACCAAGGGGACGAUGCGUAGCCAACCUGAGAGGGUGAUCGGCCACACUGGAACUGAGACACGGUCCAGACUCCUACGGGAGGCAGCAUUAGGGAAUCUUCCGCAAUGGGCGAAAGCCUGACGGAGCAACGCCGCGGGAGUGAUGAAGGUCUUCGGAUCGUAAAACUCUGUUAUUAGGGAAGAACAAAUGUGUAAGUAACUAUGCACGUCUUGACGGUACCUAAUCAGAAAGCCACGGCUAACUACGUGCCAGCAGCCGCGGUAAUACGUAGGUGGCAAGCGUUAUCCGGAAUUAUUGGGCGUAAAGCGCGCGUAGGCGGUUUUUUAAGUCUGAUGUGAAAGCCCACGGCUCAACCGUGGAGGGUCAUUGGAAACUGGAAAACUUGAGUGCAGAAGAGGAAAGUGGAAUUCCAUGUGUAGCGGUGAAAUGCGCAGAGAUAUGGAGGAACACCAGUGGCGAAUGCGACUUUCUGGUCUGUAACUGACGCUGAUGUGCGAAAGCGUGGGGAUCAAACAGGAUUAGAUACCCUGGUAGUCCACGCCGUAAACGAUGAGUGCUAAGUGUUAGGGGGUUUCCGCCCCUUAGUGCUGCAGCUAACGCAUUAAGCACUCCGCCUGGGGAGUACGACCGCAGGUUGAAACUCAAGGAAUUGACGGGACCCGCACAAGCGGUGGAGCAUGUGGUUUAAUUCGAA